rnacentral:tRNA from 1 species
GUCGGCUACGGCACGUACGGCGUGCGCGCGAUCGCGUCGCGCCUGGAGAUCGCCGACGAGCGCGCGUUCGUGCCGUGGGCCGAGC